rnacentral:hammerhead_ribozyme from 1 species
AUCCAGCUAACGAGUUCGAAACAGGACGACACGCGCGUCAAUCUGGAU